rnacentral:rRNA from 1 species
GACCAUUUGGUUACUAGGCAAUGUGGUGUUCAGGUCAUUCCGCGAAGUUACUGCUCCACUCCAAGUCCAGCAAUGAGUACGGUAAUGCUGACAUGGCCCACAGAGGGUGAAAGGCCCGUUGGGGUGGAGGUGCAGAAAUGCCGGUAACUUCCUGGAAAGACCUUGGAGUCGGGUUGUUUGAGAAUGCAGCCCAAAGUGGGUGGUAAACUCCAUCCAAGGCUAAAUACUGACACGAGUCCGAUAGCAAACAAGUACCGUGAGGGAAAGUUGAAAAGUACUUUGAAGAGAGAGUAAACAGUGCGUGAAACCGCUCAGAGGUAAACGGGUGGAGCUGAACUGUGAGCUCUGUGGAUUUAGCUGGUGAGUGUGGUUUGAUCUUGGUCAAAUUGGCUGGGACUUGGGGUCUGCGUAGCAGCAGGUCUUCAUCUUCUGGUGAAGAUGCGCGAAUCGCUUAUCAAGUGUUGUGCGCCCCUUGUUAAUUCGGGCCGACUCACCAGUGCACUUUCACAGAGUGGUCACCACGACCGACAUUGCUGUCUGACUGUUGCGGUUAAACCGUCCUUUCAUGUUCCAUGCGUUCAUGUCUGGGCGGGAAGGCAGGUAACUCGUUGACUUGCUUGCGGUUCGCCGCAGGUUUAGUCUCCGGGUGUAAUAAGCUGACCGCAUCGGCUCUGUGCAGUAUGUCGGGGACGGCGGCUCGUGGUGUAUGCGUGUGUAGCUGCUGGUUGGCAUUUCCGAGUUUGGUCAUCGUUUCCUGUGUAAGCAGGUUAGGUGACAGCUCGGGUUUGUUCAUCCAGUGGUUGCAUGCGUUUCACUGUAUCCAGGGCCAAUAGUCUGUGGUGUUGCGGUAGGCUUUCCACCUGACCCGUCUUGAAACACGGACCAAGGAGAGUAACAUGUACGCGAGUCAUUGGGCGUAACGAAACCCAAAGGCGAAGUGAAAGUAAAGGUCUGGCUUGUCCAGGCUGAGGUGAGAUCCUGUCGUUUCUCAUGCGUGGUAUCACCAAGCUGCGAGCGGCAGGCGCAUCACCGGCCCGUCCCAUGGUGUGGUGGCAUGCUUCGGUAUGUUCAUCACCGGGGCGGAGCAUGAGCGUACAUGUUGAGACCCGAAAGAUGGUGAACUAUGCUUGCGCAGGUUGAAGCCAGAGGAAACUCUGGUGGAGG